rnacentral:rRNA from 1 species
UACAGAAGGUGCUAGCGUUGUUCGGAAUUAUUGGGCGUAAAGGAUGCGUAGGCGGUUAUGUAAGUCAAAUGUGAAAUCUCAAAGCUUAACUUUGAAACUGCAUUUGAUACUGCAUGACUAGAAAUUGGGAGAGGUAAGUGGAAUUCCUAGUGUAGAGGUUAAAUUCUUAGAUAUUAGGAGGAACAUCAGAGGCGAAGGCGACUUACUAGAACAAUUUUGACGCUGAGGCAUGAAAGCGUGGGGAUCAAACAGG